AUUGAACGCUGGCGGCAGGCCUAACACAUGCAAGUCGAGCGGUAGAGAGGUGCUUGCAUCUCUUGAGAGCGGCGGACGGGUGAGUAAUGCCUAGGAAUCUGCCUAGUGGUGGGGGAUAACGUUCGGAAACGGACGCUAAUACCGCAUACGUCCUACGGGAGAAAGCGGGGGAUCUUCGGACCUCGCGCCAUUAGAUGAGCCUAGGUCGGAUUAGCUAGUUGGUGAGGUAAUGGCUCACCAAGGCGACGAUCCGUAACUGGUCUGAGAGGAUGAUCAGUCACACUGGAACUGAGACACGGUCCAGACUCCUACGGGAGGCAGCAGUGGGGAAUAUUGGACAAUGGGCGAAAGCCUGAUCCAGCCAUGCCGCGUGUGUGAAGAAGGUCUUCGGAUUGUAAAGCACUUUAAGUUGGGAGGAAGGGCAGUAAGUUAAUACCUUGUCUGUUUUUGACGUUACCAACAGAAUAAGCACCGGCU
rnacentral:rRNA from 1 species